GCCCGGGUCGUCUAAUGGUCAAGAUGGCGCAAACGGUGGCGUUCUCGAACCCAAAUUCGAGAAUGACGCCGUUGCGUCGACCCAGGUUCGAUUCCUGGCCCGGGUG